GGGGAAUUUUCCGCAAUGGGCGAAAGCCUGACGGAGCAAUACCGCGUGAGGGAGGAAUGCCUUUGGGUUGUAAACCUCUUUUCUCAGGGAAGAAGAUCUGACGGUACCUGAGGAAUAAGUAUCGGCUAACUCCGUGCCAGCGGCCGCGGUAAUACGGAGGAUGCAAGCGUUAUCCGGAAUCAUUGGGCGUAAAGCGUCCGCAGGUGGUUUCCAAAGUCUGCUGUUAAAGACUGGAGCUCAACUCCGGAACGGCGGUGGAAACUUGGAAACUAGAGUUCGGUAGGGGUAGCAGGAAUUCCCAGUGUAGCGGUGAAAUGCGUAGAUAUUGGGAAGAACAUCGGUGGCGAAGGCGUGCUACUGGACCGUAACUGACACUCAGGGACGAAAGCUAGGGGAGCGAAAGGGAUUAGAUACCCCUGUAGUCCUAGCUGUAAACGAUGGAAACUAGGUGUGGCUUG
rnacentral:rRNA from 1 species